GGGGGUAUAGCUCAGUGACAGAUCACAUGCUUGGUGUGCAUGAGAUCCUGAGUUCAAUCUCCAGUGCCUCCA
rnacentral:tRNA from 1 species